rnacentral:rRNA from 1 species
AUUGAACGCUGGCGGCAGGCCUAACACGUGCAAGUCGAGCGGGAACUUCGGUUCUAGCGGCGGACGGGUGAGUAAUGCGUAGGAAGCUACCCGACAGAGGGGGAUACCAGUUGGAAACGACUGUUAAUACCGCAUAAUGUCUACGGACCAAAGUGUGGGACCUUCGGGCCACAUGCUGUCGGAUGCGCCUACGUGGAAUUAGCUAGUUGGUGAGGUAAUGGCUCACCAAGGCGACGAUCCCUAGCUGGUUUGAGAGGAUGAUCAGCCAAACUGGAACUGAGACACGGUCCAGACUCCUACGGGAGGCAGCAGUGGGGAAUAUUGGACAAUGGGCGAAAGCCUGAUCCAGCCAUGCCGCGUGUGUGAAGAAGGCCUUCGGGUUGUAAAGCACUUUCAGUAGGGAGGAAGAGUUGAGUGUUAAUAGUACUCAGCUUUGACGUUACCUACAGAAGAAGCACCGGCUAACUCUGUGCCAGCCGCCGCCGUAAAAC